rnacentral:rRNA from 1 species
CUCUCGGGGUUACAGCCUUGCUGAAUUAUUCACCCUUGUCUUUUGCGUACUUCUUGUUUCCUUGGUGGGUUCGCCCACCACUAGGACAAACAUAAACCUUUUGUAAUUGCAAUCAGCGUCAGUAACAAAUUAAUAAUUACAACUUUCAACAACGGAUCUCUUGGUUCUGGCAUCGAUGAAGAACGCAGCGAAAUGCGAUAAGUAGUGUGAAUUGCAGAAUUCAGUGAAUCAUCGAAUCUUUGAACGCACAUUGCGCCCUUUGGUAUUCCAAAGGGCAUGCCUGUUCGAGCGUCAUUUGUACCCUCAAGCUUUGCUUGGUGUUGGGCGUCUUGUCUCUAGCUUUGCUGGAGACUCGCCUUAAAGUAAUUGGCAGCCGGCCUACUGGUUUCGGAGCGCAGCACAAGUCGCACUCUCUAUCAGCAAAGGUCUAGCAUCCAUUAAGCCUUUUUUCAACUUUUGACCUCGGAUCAGGUAGGGAUACCCGCUGAACUUAAGCAUAUCAAUAAG